rfam:Camelus ferus unplaced genomic scaffold scaffold1541, whole genome shotgun sequence.
UUUUUAGCAUAAGUAUGUCCCUGACAAUAUUUGGGACAUACUUAUACUAAAA